UGGGGAAUUUUGGACAAUGGGCGAAAGCCUGAUCCAGCAAUGCCGCGUGUGUGAAGAAGGCCUUCGGGUUGUAAAGCACUUUUGUCCGGAAAGAAAUCCUUGGCUCUAAUACAGUCGGGGGAUGACGGUACCGGAAGAAUAAGCACCGGCUAACUACGUGCCAGCAGCCGCGGUAAUACGUAGGGUGCAAGCGUUAAUCGGAAUUACUGGGCGUAAAGCGUGCGCAGGCGGUUUGCUAAGACCGAUGUGAAAUCCCCGGGCUCAACCUGGGAACUGCAUUGGUGACUGGCAGGCUAGAGUAUGGCAGAGGGGGGUAGAAUUCCACGUGUAGCAGUGAAAUGCGUAGAGAUGUGGAGGAAUACCGAUGGCGAAGGCAGCCCCCUGGGCCAAUACUGACGCUCAUGCACGAAAGCGUGGGGAGCAAACAGGAUUAGAUACCCUGGUAGUCCACGCCCUAAACGAUGUCAACUAGUUGUUGGGGAUUCAUUUCCUUAGUAACGUAGCUAACGCGUGAAGUUGACCGCCUGGGGAGUACGGUCGCAAGAUUAAAACUCAAAUGAAUUGACGGGUCAUAGCUG
rnacentral:rRNA from 1 species